rnacentral:rRNA from 1 species
UAGGGAAUCUUCGGCAAUGGACGAAAGUCUGACCGAGCAACGCCGCGUGAGUGAAGAAGGUUUUCGGAUCGUAAAACUCUGUUGUUAGAGAAGAACAAGGACGUUAGUAACUGAACGUCCCCUGACGGUAUCUAACCAGAAAGCCACGGCUAACUACGUGCCAGCAGCCGCGGUAAUACGUAGGUGGCAAGCAUUGUCCGGAUUUAUUGGGCGUAAAGCGAGCGCAGGCGGUUUCUUAAGUCUGAUGUGAAAGCCCCCGGCUCAACCGGGGAGGGUCAUUGGAAACUGGGAGACUUGAGUGCAGAAGAGGAGAGUGGAAUUCCAUGUGUAGCGGUGAAAUGCGUAGAUAUAUGGAGGAACACCAGUGGCGAAGGCGGCUCUCUGGUCUGUAACUGACGCUGAGGCUCGAAAGCGUGGGGAGCAAACAGG